GACAGAGGGUGCAAACGUUGUUCGGAAUUACUGGGCGUAAAGCGCGUGUAGGUGGCCAAGCAAGUCGGAUGUGAAAGCCCUCGGCUCAACCGGGGAAGUGCACUCGAAACUGCAUGGCUAGAGUCUCGGAGAGGAUCGUGGAAUUCUCGGUGUAGAGGUGAAAUUCGUAGAUAUCAGGAAGAACACCAACGGCGAAGGCAGCUCGCUGGGACGGUACUGACGCUGAGGAGCGAAAGCGUGGGGAGCGAACAGG
rnacentral:rRNA from 1 species